UGGAGCUGUAUGAGGCGAGAGUCUCAUGUACAGUUCCUUUGAGAAGGGUAUGAUACCACCACCUAUCAGGC
rfam:Triticum aestivum genome assembly, contig: Triticum_aestivum_CS42_TGACv1_scaffold_030727_1BL